rnacentral:snRNA from 1 species
GAUCAAAGUGUAGUAUCUGUUCUUAUCAGCUUAAUAUCUGAUACGUUCCCCCACCGGGGAACUACGAUAUUAAACUGAUUUUUGGAACUUGGCGAAGUGUCAGGGGCUUGCUCCGCCUUUGCCACGGGUUGGC